CUCUUUUUGAAUAUAAUUUAAAGUAGGGCCUGCCCACUGAAUUAUUGAAGGGCCGCAGUAUUUUGACUGUGCAAAGGUAGCAUAAUCAUUAGUUUUUUAAUUGAAAACUUGUAUGAAUGGUUUGAUGAGAAAACAGCUUUCUUUAUUUAAAUGUUAAAGAAUUUUAUUUUUAAGUUAAAAAGCUUAAAUAUUUUUAAUAGACGAGAAGACCCUAUAGAGUUUUAUUUUUUUAUAUAAUUAAAUCUUUAGAAUUUUAAAAUUUUAUUAUAUGAAAAAAUUUGAUUGGGGUGAUUGAAAAAUUAAAUUAACUUUUAUUUUUAUUAAACAUUAAUUUAUGAAUAGAUGAUCCAUUUAAGUGAUUAAAAGAAUAAAUUACCUUAGGGAUAACAGCGUUAUUUUUUUUUAGAGUUCAAAUCGAAAAAAGAGAUUGCGACCUCGAUGUUGGAUUAAAGUUAAUAUUAGGAGUAGAAGCUUAAUAAUUUGGUCUGUUCGACCAUUAAAACUUUACA
rnacentral:rRNA from 1 species